rnacentral:sRNA from 1 species
UAACGUUUCCCUACAGCCGUCAUAUGGCUU